AAGCCACUCAACCCCAUCAAAUGGAGAGAUGUUAAGCAGCUCUGUGAUUGGCCACCGGAACACCGUCCAUAAGAUGACUCUGACCACGUGACCAAUCACGGCACGAGAUACUACAAAGGCCAUAGAUGAGUUUGACUUUUAUAUGGGUGCAUGCACGUAACACUAUUCUUACUCUGCUUGGCAUUCAUGUUAGUCUUUAGUUAUUUCUUGAGUUGUUUUUAUUGUGUUGCUUGUAGCAUUAUAGUUUUAAACCCAACAGUGUGUGUGUAAAAUGUGUACAACAUGGACUUAUCGGUCAUAAAAAGGAUGUAUAGAUGUUUGAGAUGCUGGCCAAGUAGCACAGGAAGACCCAUGAGAUGGGAGGAGUUAAGCUCAGCUGUGUGAGCAAGAACGGACCAUGAAUGGCAAACACUAGUGGAGAGAGACAAUAUUGGAAGUGGGGAUGGAGGGAACUAGAAUGCUUAAUAUCUGACACUGGAUCAGUGAUGGACACUGAACACCGUCAGUGGAAAGCUAGCAGACCUGUCUGACUCAGGUCCUGGGGCAGCUCUUAGAUGUUAGUGGACCUCUUCUUUAGAAAUGAGCACAGAUACAGAUACACACCCAAAACUAAGUCAAAUGUGCUCAGUAGUGAUGAUCAGAAGCUCAGAACUCAGAGCUUUGUGUCUACUAGAGCUUGAGUCACAGAUACCAGGUCGUUGGCUGUUAUAAUGUCCUAAAUAAGUCGACUUUGGUGAUCUGUGUCUCCAGCAGCACCAGGUAUGAAGCUGGACCGUCGCAUGGUUGUUUCUGCCUGUGAUGCACAACUGGAACCUGAGUGCAGGACAGCUAAAGUCUCUCUAGUUCAAAUUGAAGAAAUAACACAGAAACCAGCUUAAUACUUUCAUUUACAUCCGCUGUCUCCCACAGCUAAAAGAAGAGAAGCUAAUGGUUAUUGUAACGAUCCCUGAGCACAUUCUAGCGCUGGUCUACCUGGAACCAAGAUUAACAGGGAUGGAACCGAGUCUGUAUGUUUCCAGGCUGGCAGGAGAGGAUUGAUUGUGUGUUGGAGCAGGUUAUGACUUGUGAUUAUUUUUCUUUCUCACUGACAAUAGAACAUGCACAGUACCAAGUAGAGACAGUUAGUUAACAUACCGUAAGCCCAGUUCUCGGUGACUAACUAGGCCAGAUAAUAACAAUGAUCGGGACAUCUGGAGUCCAAAAUGUGCAGAGGUGAGAAUAAUGUGUUCAUCGCAUGCAUUCAGCCUCUCAUGCAAACAUUGAGCUCUCCACUUUCUCUGCUCUAAUCAAAUAUAACAGCAGGUCAGCAGCCAACAGAAGCAGUGCCGAUCAUUUGGCUGCUUUGUUCAGUGUCCUACGGGCUGGUAGUGGGACACCACCAGACCUGGCCAGUGGAGAACAAGCCAUAAAACCACCCAAAGAGUGGAAGAACGUCUAGAGGAAACACUGACAGACUGUAAAUAAUGGUCUUCUUUUAGGUCAGAUUUAAGAUGUGAUCUAUUUCCGCCUCGGUGAAA